rnacentral:rRNA from 1 species
ACCCGCUGAACUUAAGCAUAUCAAUAAGCGGAAGAAAAGAAACUAACAAGGAUUCCCCUAGUAACUGCGAGUGNANAGGGAAAAGCUCAAAUUUAAAAUCUGGCAGCUUCGCUGUCCGAG